GAUGAACGCUGGCGGCGUGCCUAACACAUGCAAGUCGAGCGAACAGACGAGGAGCUUUCUCCUCUGAUGUUAGCGGCGGACGGGUGAGUAAAACGUGGAUAACAUACCUAUAAGACUGGGAUAACUUCGGGAAAACGGAGCUAAUACCGGAUAACAUGUUGAACCGCAAGGUUCAACAGUGAAAGACGGUCUUGCUGUCACUUAUAGAUGGAUCCGCGCCGCAUUAGCUAGUUGGUCAGGUAACGGCUUACCAAGGCAACGAUGCGUAGCCGACCUGAGAGGGUGACCGGCCACACUGGAACUGAGACACGGUCCAGACUCCUACGGGAGGCAGCAGUAGGGAAUCUUCCGCAAUGGGCGAAAGCCUGACGGAGCAACGCCGCGUGAAUGAAGAAGGUCUUCGGAUCGUAAAAUUCUGUUAGUAGGGAGGAAGAAAUGUGUAAGUAACGAUGCACGUCUUGACGGUACCUGAUGAGAAAGCCACGGCUAACUACGUG
rnacentral:rRNA from 1 species